rnacentral:rRNA from 1 species
GACGAACGCUGGCGGCGUGCUUAACACAUGCAAGUCGAGCGAUGAAGUUUCUUCGGAAAUGGAUUAGCGGCGAACGGGUGAGGAACACGUGAAGAAUCUGCCCUCCACUUUGGGAUAACACCGGGAAACCGGUGCUAAUACUGAAUAUUGAAACAUAAGUGGCAUCACUGAGUUUUGAAAGAAUUUCGGUGGAGGAUGACUUCGCGGCCUAUCAGCUAGUUGGUGAGGUAAUGGCUCACCAAGGCAACGACGGGUAGCCGGCCUGAGAGGGCGACCGGCCACACUGGGACUGAGACACGGCCCAGACUCCUACGGGAGGCAGCAGUGGGGAAUAUUGGGCAAUGGAGGAAACUCUGACCCAGCGACGCCGCGUGCGGGAUGAAGGCCUUCGGGUUGUAAACCGCUUUCAGUAGGGAAGAAGCGAAAGUGACGGUACCUACAAAAGAAGCACCGGCUAACUAUGUGCCAGCAGCCGCGGUAAUACAUAGGGUGCAAGCGUUGUCCGGAAUUAUUGGGCGUAAAGAGCUCGUAGGUCGUUUGUUACGUCGGAUGUGAAAACCUGAGGCUCAACCUCAGGCCUGCAUUCGAUACGGGCAAACUAGAGUUUGGUAGGGGAGACUGGAAUUCCUGGUGUAGCGGUGGAAUGCGCAGAUAUCAGGAGGAACACCAAUGGCGAAGGCAGGUCUCUGGGCCAAUACUGACACUGAGGAGCGAAAGUCUGGGGAGCGAACAGGAUUAGAUACCCUGGUAGUCCAGACCGUAAACGGUGGGCACUAGUUGUGGGAACCUUCCACGGUUUCUGCGACGCAGCUAACGCAUUAAGUGCCCCGCCUGGGGAGUACGAUCGCAAGAUUAAAACUCAAAGGAAUUGACGGGGCCCCGCACAAGCAGCGGAGCAUGCGGCUUAAUUCGACGCAACGCGAAGAACCUUACCAAGGCUUGACAUAUAGGGAAAAGUGGCAGAGAUGUCA